rnacentral:tRNA from 1 species
GCUAUAGCUCAGUAGUAGAGUGCUUGCCUAGCAUGUGUGAGGCCCUGGGUUCAAUUCUCAGUACUGCA